AUUGAACGCUGGCGGCAGGCCUAACACAUGCAAGUCGAACGAGUGGCGGACGGGUGAGUAAUGUCUGGGAAUCUGCCCGAUAGAGGGGGAUAACUACUGGAAACGGUCGCUAAUCCCGCAUACUCUCGGAUGUGCCCAUAUGGGAUUCGCUAGUAGGUGGGGUAAAGGCUCACCUAGGCCACGCUCCCUAGCUGGUUUGAGAGGAUGACCAGACACACUGGGAAGGAGACACGGCCCAGACUCCUACGGUAGGCAGCAGUGGGGAAUAUUGCACAAUGGGGGCAAGCCUGAUGCAGGCAUGCCGCGUGUAUGAAGAAGGCCUUCGGGGUGUAAAGUACUUUCAGCGGGGAGGCGUUACCCGCAGAAGAAGCAUCGGCUAACUCCGUGCCAGCAGCCGCGGUAAUAC
rnacentral:rRNA from 1 species